rnacentral:rRNA from 1 species
CAGUCGCCACGGUAAUAUAGAGGAUGCAAGCGUUAUCCGGAAUGAUUAGGCGUAAAGCGUCUGUAGGUGGAUUUUCAAGUCCGCCGUCAAAUCCCAGGGCUCAACCCAUAGCCUGCACGAGAAACUACCGGGCUUGAGUGAUGGAGAGGUGAGUGGAAUUUCCGGUGUAGCGGUGAAAUGCGUAGAUAUCGGAAGGAACACCUGUGGCGAAAGCGGCUCACUGGACAUUAACUGACGCUGAUGCACGAAAGCUAGGGGAGCAAACAGGAUUAGAUACCCCAGUAGUUCCUGUCUCUUAUAC